rnacentral:rRNA from 1 species
AUUGAACGCUGGCGGCAGGCCUAACACAUGCAAGUCGAACGGUAACAGGAAGCAGCUUGCUGCUUCGCUGACGAGUGGCGGACGGGUGAGUAAUGUCUGGGAAGCUGCCUGAUGGAGGGGGAUAACUACUGGAAACGGUAGCUAAUACCGCAUAAUGUCGCAAGACCAAAGAGGGGGACCUUCGGGCCUCUUGCCAUCGGAUGUGCCCAGAUGGGAUUAGCUUGUUGGUGGGGUGACGGCUCACCAAGGCGACGGUCCCUAGCUGGACUGAGAGGAUGAUCGGCCGCACUGGAACAGGAACGGGGACCAGACUCCUAAGGGACGCAGCAGUCGGGAACAUUGGACAAUUGGGGUAAGUCUGAUGCAGUGAUGGCGCGUGUAUGAAAGAGGCCCUCGGGUUGUAAAGAGCUUUCAGGGGGGAGGAAGGGUGUAGAGUUAAUACCUUUGCUCAUUGACGUUACCCGCAGAAGAAGCACCGGCUAACUCCGUG